rnacentral:rRNA from 1 species
UACGUAGGGCGCAAGCGUUGUCCGGAAUUAUUGGGCGUAAAGAGCUCGUAGGUGGCUGAGUCAGUCGAUUGUGAAAGCCCUGGGCUUAACCUGGGAAUUGCAGUCGAUACUACUCAGCUAGAGUAUGGGAGAGGGCAGUGGAAUUCCCGGUGUAGCGGUGAAAUGCGUAGAUAUCGGGAGGAACAUCAGUGGCGAAGGCGGCUGCCUGGCCCAAUACUGACACUCAGGUGCGACAGCGUGGGGAGCAAACAGG